rnacentral:rRNA from 1 species
GGUUGCGAUCAUACCAGCACUAAUGCACCGGAUCCCAUCAGAACUCCGCAGUUAAGCGUGCUUGGGCGAGAGUAGUACUAGGAUGAGUGACCCCCUGGGAAGUCCUCGUGUUGCAACCC